GCAUUUUCUAUUGUGCUUCUGUUGUGUUGACUUCCGACUUGGUCUAACAAGCUGAUAAUUAGGUGAACGCCUAAUCGGGCUCUUAGACGGCGAGUGAACGAAGAGAAGAGCAUUGAGCUGUUACGAGGAGAUUCAGAUGGAAAAGGAGAGGUUUUAACCCCGCCCCGGACGUGAUCCGGGCGGGACUGGAGGCGGGCAGCGAUUGGUGGAGCGUCGCUUACGUCACGCUUGGGGGGCGGGUUUGUGGAUGUCGUUAGUGAUCGGCAGGGCAGAUCCGGAGGAGGAUUUGCAUGCAGAGGGGCGUAGUUCUAUGCCGGAGCGGUGAGAACUUGGUUUUGUGUGCCUUUUCCAUAUUUACCUAAGGCUGACACUCCACGGACGGAGUUUAGCCGGAGCGCUUCCACGAGUACCCAGGAUUGGAAAAGUCACUCCGUUUGUCGCUCGAGUGUUUACACGGCCAAGCGCAUGUGGUCUCGACCUAGGACCGGAGAGGUCACCGGUCGGAUCCACGCUCACUGAUUGAAUUAAGUGUUGUUUUCCAAGACAGAUGCUGUGUGUUUUAUAACAUCUCGCCUUUUUUCGUUAAUUUUUUUUCUUCCCUGUGUUGUGAUUUUGAACUGACUUCAUCAUGAUGCUGAGCCAUAAAGGCUACCCGGACUCGAGCUGCAGUAUGGGUACGAUGCAACCCAUGAGUGCGAUGAGUAACAGUUACAGUAUGAACAGUGCUACCGCUUCGUCCAUGAGUAUGGCGGGUAUGAACUAUUCCCCGCAAAGUUUUGGUACGAACAUGAUGUCAGCGUCGGCCAUGGGUGGCAUGGGUCCCACGGCCGGAAUGGGCAUGGGCGGCACAGCGGGAACAUGUAUGUCUCCCACGAUGACGGCCAUGACCCCUCUUGGGGGUAUGAACUCCCUCAACCAGAGUAUGAACGGCAUGACUUCGCCGGCGUGCAUGGGUUCCAUGACGGGACUGGGUGGUAUGAACGCUCCUCUAGUCGCUGCUGCUGGACGUGAUUUUGGUGGUCAUGGUGGCUCAGUCGACGGUGGUUCCGCCAGCGCUGCAACAGCAGCUCUCCAAAGAGCCAGAGCCGACAAAACCUACCGAAGGAGUUAUUCCCACGCCAAACCCCCUUAUUCCUACAUCUCCUUAAUCACCAUGGCGAUCCAGAACAGCCCCAGUAAAAUGCUGACUCUGAGCGAGAUCUACCAGUUCAUAAUGGACCUCUUCCCAUACUACAGACAAAACCAGCAGCGAUGGCAGAAUUCCAUCCGCCACAGUCUCAGCUUCAAUGACUGUUUCGUAAAAGUCCCGCGAACUCCUGACAAGCCCGGAAAAGGUAGCUUCUGGACGCUGCAUCCGGACUCCGGCAACAUGUUCGAGAACGGGUGCUACCUCCGAAGGCAAAAAAGGUUUAAGUGCGAGAAGAAAGAAGCCGUCCGACAGGCCACAAAGAGCUCUCAAAGCAGCAACAGCAGCCCAUCCCCUGCUGGGAAAGGGGGCAGUGACAGUCGCAUAUCACCGCAUCCCCAUCAACAGCAGCCACCGCCACCCCAUCAUCUACAGCAACACCCUCAUGUUCAGCGUGGGACUCCGAACAGUAGCCCUCAUGGUAUGAACGCUCAGGGGUAUGGUAGUCACCAAAUGUCUGCCCACUCUCACCUUGUAGAAGCAUGCAAAGCAGAAGACCCAUCGUGUUGCAGCCCUCCUAUCAAUGGUCAAGGCAUGCAUCACGCCGCCUUGGAGCACCAACUGGCCGCCAUCCACCCUCGCAAUCUCACCGAGGCCGCUGUCCUUCAUUCAGGAAUGCUGGCAGCAGGACAACUCAAAACGGACCCCCACUUCAACCCUUCUAAUCAUCCCUUCUCCAUAAACAACAUCAUCGCCAGCGAGAACAAAGCCGAUAUGAAACUGUACGACAUGGUUCAGUACGGGGCUUAUGCUCCUCUAUCCCCCGUGGGCCCAGGAGGACAACAUUCCUUGCCCAAUGAUGCCUCUUCGUAUUACCACUCGUCACUGUAUUCUGUCCACCAGUCGACGACCUCUGGCAUGUGAACAGAAGUGACAGCCGGGGAUGUCAGACGGACGGAAGAGUACGACAGCCAACAUCGACCACAAAGACUCCUCAUCUUCGUCUUCUCUUUCACGUGCAAACAAAACAUUAGACACCUUCAACUCCCCCGUGCUCCGUGUCUCGAACUCUUCGGCUCUUGGGAACGCUCAAAGCCAGAAGGUAACUAUGCCAACCUGUUUCUGCAAGACCUCUUCUUUGGACACUUAGCUUUUGUGCCAUACUUCCCAAGUGCUGCUUCAAGGUGGCUAGGGGAUUCGGAACACCUGCCUCAGUCAAAAGGCAACUGAACCCGCUGCAAGUCUCUUGCGCCAUCUUUUAGUAUGAAACAGGAGACAAAGCUAUGACGUCCAAAGCUCAAUCUCUGGAGCCAUGAACUAAAAAUAACAACACAUUUAUUAUGAUAGUCAUUUCAAAAUCUGUAUAGUAAUUUGUAUAAUAAAAAA